GAUCCCUGUGCCUGGUGCGUGUUAACACUCCGCCAGCGGCAUUCUGGGCCCGGUGUAGAUGUGAUCCCUGUGACUAGUGCGUGUUAACACUCCGCCAGCGGCAUUCUGGGCCAGGUGUAGAUGUGAUCCCUGUGCCUGGUGCGUGUUAACACUCCGCCAGCGGCAUUCUGGGCCAGGUGUAGAUGUGAUCCCUGUGCCUGGUGCGUGUUAACACUCCGCCAGCGGCAUUCUGGGCCCGUUGUAGAUGUGAUCCCUGUGCCUGGUGCGUGUUAAUGUAACCCACAUGGUAUAUUGGUAAUUUAUUUUCUUAUUUUUCUUUGUUUGUUUUUGUUGUUUUGUCUGUAAAGGGAUGUGUAUAUGUGGUUGUGUCUACCUUAAUUUCUAUAAGCAAAUUUUUGUGUGUAAUUAUAUAUAUAUAUUUAAGCUUACCUGGAAUUUGCACUUGUUUUAAGUGAAGGAGGCAUAUUGUAGGUGUUGUUGCGGUAGCUCAGAGUAAUGUAAGGUACGCUCUACGUCAUUACGCUCUGUGUCAUUUCGCUCUGCGUCAGUUGGCGAAUAUAAGCCGCCAUGAGCGAGCGGGGUUUUAGCUGAGCGUUGCUGCCGACAACUGUGGCGCCUAAGCUACUAUUUCGCUACCAAAAUCUGCCUUCUUUGCCAGUCUUCUUCGCCAGCCUCCCUUGUCAGGACGAGUGGCUGAGGAAAACGACUCCGUCGCCAUUUCGUCUCUCCUUUCCCGCCGAAAGACAGCAAGAGUGCCAGUCGCCAUAUAUAUAUUUUUUUUGGACGGGACAGUGAGGAGCUGGCCAAAUUUUCGUUUAUAAUUAACAUUUGGAUACCCAUUGAAAAUUAUAAAUAUAUAUGUUUGUGUUCUGGUUAUCGAACUAUAUAAUUUUUGUUUAUUGAAAUAAUAUACGAUUUGGUUUUGAUUUAUA